rnacentral:rRNA from 1 species
GUGCGUAAUAACUGGCAACCCGUACACGUUUUGCUGGGUGGAUUAUUCGGCGAACGGGUGAGUAACACGUGAGUAACCUGCCCCUGACUCUGGGAUAAGCCCGGGAAACUGGGUCUAAUACCGGAUAUGACUUUUGACCGCAUGGUUGAGGGUGGAAAGAUUUAUCGGUUGGGGAUGGACUCGCGGCCUAUCAGCUUGUUGGUGAGGUAAUGGCUCACCAAGGCGACGACGGGUAGCCGGCCUGAGAGGGUGACCGGCCACACUGGGACUGAACACGGCCCAACUCCUACGGGAGGCAGCAGUGGGGAAUAUUGCACAAUGGGCGCAAGCCUGAUGCACCCACCCCCUGAGGGAUGACGGCCUUCGGGUUGUAAACCUCUUCAGUAGGGAAGAACAAAGU